AGUUAUUCGACUUUUUCCAUCAGCAACAACAGCAGCCUGAGCAACGGCCGCAUAGCAGUGUGAAAAAAAAGUGAAAAAAAUUCAAAUCUCGGACGCAGUGCAGUUGUUCGCCGAUUAUUCGAAGAGCAUACGAAACUAUUUAUACGAUGUCGAUGGCAAUAUUCUGCUUGAUGUUUACACUCAAACCUCUUCAGUUCCAUUAGGUUACAACCACCCUGAAUUAUUAGAUGUCAAGAUAAAGAAAACAUCAGAACAUUCAUAAACCGACCUGCCCUCGGUGUAUUUCCUGGUGAAAAUUAUCCUAAGCGAGUCCAGAAUUCUCUGUUACGUAUUGCUCCCAAAGGCCAUACAGAGGUAACGACGAUGGCGUGUGGAUCGUGCUCAAACGAAAAUGCGUACAAGGCAAUUUUCGUUUGGUAUCGCCGGAAACAGAGGGGAGAUAAGUCAUAUACCCCAGAGGAGAAGACGAGUUGCGUAAUGAACCAAUUGCCUGGUGUUUCUGACCUGACUCUUAUGUCUUUCAAAGGCGCUUUCCACGACAGAACGUUUGGUACGUUAAUCACGACUCAUACCAAGCCAGUCCAUAAACUGGACAUUCCUACAAAGGACUGGCCAAUUGGAACCUUCCCUCGCCACAAGUAUCCGUUGGAAGAAUUUGUGCGUGAAAAUGAGGAAGAAGAUCGUCGCUGUUUGGCGGAAGUUGAAGAGCUUUUUGAUCGGUACAAAAAA